rnacentral:rRNA from 1 species
AUGAACGCUAGCUACAGGCUUAACACAUGCAAGUCGAGGGUUAGCAUCAUCAAAGCUUGCUUUGAUGGAUGGCGACCGGCGCACGGGUGAGUAACACGUAUCCAACCUGCCGACAACACUGGGAUAGCCUUUCGAAAGAAAGAUUAAUACCGGAUGGUAUAGUUUUCCCGCAUGGGAUGAUUAUUAAAGAAUUUCGGUUGUCGAUGGGGAUGCGUUCCAUUAGGCAGUUGGCGGGGUAACGGCCCACCAAACCUACGAUGGAUAGGGGUUCUGAGAGGAAGGUCCCCCACAUUGGAACUGAGACACGGUCCAAAUUCCUACGGGAGGCAGCAGUGAGGAAUAUUGGUCAAUGGACGAGAGUCUGAACCAGCCAAGUAGCGUGAAGGAUGACUGCCCUAUGGGUUGUAAACUUCUUUUAUACGGGAAUAAAGUGAGCCACGUGUGGUUUUUUGUAUGUACCGUAUGAAUAAGGAUCGGCUAACUCCGUGCCAGCAGCCGCGGUAAUACGGAGGAUCCGAGCGUUAUCCGGAUUUAUUGGGUUUAAAGGGAGCGUAGGCGGGUUGUUAAGUCAGUUGUGAAAGUUUGCGGCUCAACCGUAAAAUUGCAGUUGAUACUGGCGACCUUGAGUGCAACAGAGGUAGGCGGAAUUCGUGGUGUAGCGGUGAAAUGCUUAGAUAUCACGAAGAACUCCGAUUGCGAAGGCAGCUUACUGGAUUGUAACUGACGCUGAUGCUCGAAAGUGUGGGUAUCAAACAGGAUUAGAUACCCUGGUAGUCCACACAGUAAACGAUGAAUACUCGCUGUUGGCGAUAUACAGUCAGCGGCCAAGCGAAAG